rnacentral:rRNA from 1 species
AGAGCACACGGGGGAUGCCUUGGAGCCGAUGGCCGAAGAAGGACGUGGCAAGCUGCGAAAAGCCGCGGUUAGGUGCAAGCGACCGAAUGACCCGCGGAUGUCCGAAUGGGGAAACCUGCCCGGGGUAAUGCUCGGGCGACCUUACGAGGUCGGCGACCCGGUGAAGUGAAACAUCUCAGUAACCGGAGGAGAAGAAAUCGAAGAGAUGCCCUCAGUAGUGGUGAGCGAAAGGGGCGUAGCCUAAACCAGGGGCGUGUCAAGCCUGCAAGCGUUGCGUUUCUGGGGUAGCGGGACAGAUUGGGGAGCGUUGCAGAGCUUCCAGGGAGUUACAAAGGAUUUCUCUAGUUGAAAGGUGUUGGAACAGCCUGCCGCAGAGGGUGAUAGCCCCGUAAGCGAAAGAGAAGUCUCUCCCGAUUUGCUCCCGAGUAGGGCGGAGCACGUGGAAUUCCGUCUGAAUCAGGGUGGCCCACCAUCCAAGGCUAAAUACCAUCGGCUACCGAUAGUGAAGCAGUACCGAGAGGGAAAGGUGAAAAGCACCCCUGGCGGGGAGUGAAAUAGACCUGAAACCGUGUGCUUACAAGCAGUCGGAGCCUCGAGAGGGGUGACGGCGUGCCUCUUGGAAAAUGAGCCAGCGAGUUGCAUUACGUGGCGAGGUUAAGGACUCUAAGGUCCGGAGCCGAAGGGAAACCGAGUCCGAAUAGGGCGAUAAGUCUCGUGGUGCAGACCCGAAGCCGGACGAUCUAUCCAUGGACAGAGUGAAGGUCGGGUAAAACCGACUGGAGGCUCGCACCGUCGUCUGUUGAAAAAGACUUGGAUGAGCUGUGGAUAGGAGUGAAAAGCUAAUCGAGUUCGGUGAUAGCUGGUUCUCCCCGAAAUGCAUUGAGGUGCAGCCUCGCGAGUUAGAAAGUGACGGGGGUAGAGCACUGGAUGGGUGCGGGGGACAUAGGUCUUACCAAAUCCAACUAAACUCCGAAUACCGUUACUGGAUGCGCGGGAGUGAGACUACGGGUGAGAAGGUCCGUGGUCGAGAGGGAAAGAACCCAGACCGCCAGCUAAGGUCCCGAAGAGCGUGCUAAGUGUGACAAGGAUGUGGUGACACCCAGACAGCCAGGAGGUUGGCUUAGAAGCAGCCAUCCUUGAAAGAGUGCGUAAUAGCUCACUGGUCGAGUGUUGCCGCGCCGAAAAUGUGGGGGGCUAAGCACGCCGCCGAAGCUGCGGAUGUACGGAUAUAGGUCUGUACGUGGUAGGGGAGCGUUCUGUACGGGUAGAAGUCGGUUCGUGAGGACUGGUGGACUGUACGGAAGUGAGAAUGCUGGCAUGAGUAGCGCGAAACAUGUGAGAAACAUGUUCGCCGGAUGCCCAAGGAUUCCUGGGGAAGGUUCAUCCACCCAGGGUUAGGCGGGACCUAAGCCGAGGCUGAAGAGCGUAGGCGAUGGACAGCAGGUAGACAAUCCUGCCCCGACGUGGAUCCGCAUGGACCGAAGCGGGGACGCAGAAAGCUAGGUGCGCCGGGUGAUGGAAGUCCCGGUUCAAGGUCGUAGGGGGGUUACGUAGGCAAGACCGCGUGGCCAUAACCCUGAGAGCCGAGUGGGAGCCCCCACGGGGGCGAAGGCAUUGACGCUCAGCUGCCAAGAAAAGCCGCUAGGGAGGAUCUGGGUCGCCCGUACUGUAAACCGACACAGGUGGGCUGGCUGAGAAGGCUAAGGCGGACGGGAGAACCCUCUUUAAGGAACUCUGCAAGUUGACCCCGUAACUUCGGGAGAAGGGGUGCCACCCUGGUGAAGCGUAUGACAUGUGGAGCUAAGGGUGGUCGCAGAUACCAGGCCCAGGCGACUGUUUACUAAAAACACAGGACUCUGCAUAAGCCGUAAGGCGACGUAUAGGGUCUGACGCCUGCCCGGUGCUGGAAGGUUAAGGGGAUCGGUUAGUGAGGGGAGACUCUUGCGAAGCUGUGAACUGAAGCCCCAGUAAACGGCGGCCGUAACUAUAACGGUCCUAAGGUAGCGAAAUUCCUUGUCGGGUAAGUUCCGACCUGCACGAAAGGCGUAACGAUCUGGGCGCUGUCUCGAAGGGGGACCCGGCGAAAUUGUGGUACUGGUCAAGACGCCAGUUACCCGUGGUGGGACGGAAAGACCCCGUGGAGCUUUACUGUAUCUUGAUAUUGGAUUUCGGUAAGUCAUGUACAGUAUAGGUGGGAGACUUAGAAGGCAGGGCGCUAGCUUUGCUGGAGUCGUCGUUGGGAUACCACCCUUGACGUACUGGGGUUCUAACCGUCAGGUCUGAAUCGGCCGACGGGACAUUGUCAGGUGGGCAGUUUGACUGGGGCGGUCGCCUCCUAAAGAGUAACGGAGGCGCGCGAAGGUUACCUCAGGGCGAAUGGAAAUCGCCUUUAGAGCGCAAGGGUAUAAGGUAGCCUGACUGUGAGACAGACAUGUCGAACAGGAGCGAAAGCUGGUCCUAGUGAUCCGGCGGUGCUGAGUGGAAAGGCCGUCGCUCAUCGGAUAAAAGCUACCCCGGGGAUAACAGGCUGAUCUCCCCCGAGAGUUCCCAUCGACGGGGAGGUUUGGCACCUCGAUGUCGGCUCAUCGCAUCCUGGGGCUGGAGAAGGUCCCAAGGGUUGGUCUGUUCGCCCAUUAAAGCGGUACGUGAGCUGGGUUUAGAACGUCGUGAGACAGUUCGGUCCCUAUCCACCAUGGGCGUAGGGUAUUUGAGGGGAGCUGCUCCUAGUACGAGAGGACCGGAGUGGACGCACCGCUAGUGUACCGGUUGUCGCGCCAGCGGCAUAAGCCGGGUAGCCAUGUGCGGAUCGGAUAACCGCUGAAGGCAUCUAAGUGGGAAACCGACCCCAAGAUGAGAUACCCCACUGGGAAGCCAGGUAAGGUGUCCUGUAGACUACAGGGUUGAUAGGCCGGGGGUGUAAGCGUUGAGAGGCGUUGAGCCGACCGGUACUAAUACACCGAGGCCUUGACC